rnacentral:misc_RNA from 1 species
GCAGAGGUUCUAGCUACACCCUCUAUAAAAAACUAAGGACCACACGAG